rnacentral:rRNA from 1 species
GACGAACGCUGGCGGCGUGCUUAACACAUGCAAGUCGAACGAAGAGCGAUGGAAGCUUGCUUCUAUCAAUCUUAGUGGCGAACGGGUGAGUAACGCGUAAUCAACCUGCCCUUAAGAGGGGGACAACAGUUGGAAACGACUGCUAAUACCGCAUACGAUCUAAUCUCGGCAUCGAGGAUAGAUGAAAGGUGGCCUCUACAUGUAAGCUUUCACUGAAGGAGGGGAUUGCGUCGGAUUCGCUAGUGGGAGGGGUAACGGCCCACCAAGGCGAUGAUCAGUAGCCGGUCUGAGAGGAUGAACGGCCACAUUGGGACUGAGACACGGCCCAGACGCCUACGGGAGGCAGCAGUGGGGAAUCUUCCGCAAUGGACGAAAGGCUGACGGAGCAACGCCGCGUGAGGGAGGACGGCCGUCGGGUUGUAAAGCUCUGUUAAUCGGGACGAAAGGCCUUCUUGCGAAUAGUGAGAAGGAUUGACGGUACCGGAAUAGAAAGCCACGGCUAACUACGUG